AUGGACGAGAGUCUGAACCAGCCAAGUCGCGUGAAGGAAGACUGCCCUACGGGUUGUAAACUUCUUUUGUACAGGAAUAAAAGACAUUACGUGUAAUGUAUUGCAUGUACUGUACGAAUAAGCAUCGGCUAACUCCGUGCCAGCAGCCCGCGGUAAUAC
rnacentral:rRNA from 1 species